rnacentral:rRNA from 1 species
AGCUCCAAUAGCGUAUAUUUAAGUUGUUGCAGUUAAAAAGCUCGUAGUUGGAUUUCUGAUGUUUGUGGCGAUGGUCUAUUAAUUUAGUACUGUUGUGCGAAUGUCAUUUUUUGUAAGAUGUCGUGCUGGCAUUAAGUUGUUGGUGCGAUGUAUUCUUGCAUCGUUUACUGUGAAAAAAUUAGAGUGUUUAAAGCAGGUUUCUCCUGAAUACAUUAGCAUGGAAUAAUAAGAUAUGACUCGAAUGGUCUAUUUUGUUGGUUUGCACAUUUGAGUAAUGAUUAAUAGGGACAGUAGGGGGUAUUCAUAUUUCAGCGUCAGAGGUGAAAUUCUUGGAUCGCUGAAAGAUGAGCUAAGGCGAAAGCAUUUACCAAGGAUGUUUUCAUUA